rnacentral:rRNA from 1 species
CAGCCGCCGCGGUAAUACAGAGGAUGCAAGCAUUAUCCGGAAUUAUUGGGCGUAAAGGGCUCGCAGGCGGUUUCUUAAGUCUGAUGUGAAAGCCCCCGGCUCAACCGGGGAGGGUCAUUGGAAACUGGGAAACUUGAGUGCAGAAGAGGAGAGUGGAAUUCCACGUGUCGCGGUGAAAUGCGUAGAGAUGUGGAGGAACACCAGUGGCUAAGGCGACUCUCUGGUCUGUAACUGACGCUGAGGAGCGAAAGCGUGGGGAGCGAACAGGAUUAGAUACCCCCGUAGUCCCUGUCUCUUAUAA